rnacentral:rRNA from 1 species
AAGAGUAACGUGAAACAGGUUCAGGAGGUAAACGGAUGGGACCGCAACCUCCCCUGUGGAAUUCAACCCUUGGCGCACUGGUCGUGUCGGGUGCCGGAUCGCAAGACCGGUCCCGGCCCGAGCUGGUCGUUGGGGGCGCAUUUUUCCAGGGGUGAGCCACGACCGGUUCGCCGUCAGUCAGAAGCCCGUCGGGAAGGUAGCCUCCUUCGGGAGGUGUUAUAGCCCGGCGGCGUGUUGGCCUGAUGGUGGACUGAGGAACGCCCGCAACCUUUGGGGCCCCCGGCCCGCCUGCCCGUUCGACUGGGAGGGACUGUUCUCAGUGCCUCUCGACCGCGGGUUUGCGCGCUCGGGGAUCACCCCUUUGGCAUUCAGGGUCUGUGGCUGCUCGGUCGGCUCCCUAUCCGACCCGUCUUGAAACACGGACCAAGGAGUCUAACAUGUGUGCGAGCCAUGGGGUUCUACGAAACCUAAAGGCGUAAUGAAAGUGAAGGUCUUCCUCUUGGUUGGCCUAGGUCGGAUCCCUUCCUUCGGGAGGGGCGCAAGACUGGCCCGUCUCAGGGGCAUUGUUCCCGAGGCGGAGCAAGAGUACACACGUUGGGACCCGAAAGAUGGUGAACUAUGCCUGAGUAGGACGAAGCCAGAGGAAACUCUGGUGGAGGUCGGUAGCGAUUCUGACGUGCAAAUCGAUCGUCAAACCUGGGUAUAGGGGCGAAAGACUAAUCGAACCAUCUAGUAGCUGGUUCCCU